rnacentral:lncRNA from 1 species
CUCUGGAUCCUUCAGCCGUUCUGGAAUGUAUGUUCCUCCAGCUGAGGGUGGACGUGUGACUGCAGCCAGCAUUGUCCCCAGGGUCCUUGCGGCUAACCUGUCCUGAUCCGCGUCCAGGGCACUCACUCGCCACCGCAGCUAAAUGAGGGCUGCCUGCUGGUGGCGCUCGGUGUGGCCUGUGAGGAGCUGAAGGGCGGCAUCUCUGACAGCAGUGUCCCGUGACCCACCUACACACGGUCUCCCUCCAAGGGUCGGUUUGCCGGAGAAUGUAACCUACAACAGCCAUAUUAAGAAAAAUAAACGAUACUGUUGCUCUCUUCUCUUGAGGUCCUGUUGUUGUUUAGUUCAUCAGCCGUUUCUUCCAUUGGUGACAGUGAGGGUCAGUGUUAACCUCUUCCUCUGCCUCAUGAGAGAUGACAUUUACCAGCAAGAGUUCCGGAGGACGGGAAUGAAAAUGGCGGGCUCCCAGUCUCUGGCCCGGAGGAGUCAAAAGCUCGGGGGCCCACUCCUCAGUGUGCCCUCAGAGAAAAGCACGCAAUCACUCCCAUCUCCGUGGCCUCCAGCUGCGCUCCAAGCUCACCCAGCCUUCGACCGUUUCAAGAACUGCUUGAUGCCAAGGAUCCAGUAGACGAUUCCAAGGAGAACCUGGAAGAUACAGAGGCCAGAAAUGGAAGAUGCUUAAAUCCCUGAGUCAUUGCAUAAAAAGCUACCUGUCGGACACCUGCCAGUGACACAAGUGGAAUAUAAACCUUUAUUGAAUUAAGCAGUUAAGAUGAAGAUUUAUUCACUACUGCAGUAUAUCAGAGCCUAUUAAGGCUAAUACACUUUUGUAGUUAGCCUUCUCUGGACAUAGACCAACACCUCAGUGGCCCUCUUAAAAGACGACACCAUUUUUAUAUCAUCUGAAUACAGUUUUUCAAAUGUGACCCAGGUCUGAUGGAAGAAAAUGCCCUCCUUAUUUUCCUGAGUAUAUUUUAUCAACGCUUUCCAAAGUUGCCUUGUGCUUAGCAGCCACCUCACACAAACAUGUGUGGCACGAGUUAGCCCUGUAGCUAACAAAAAACACCAAAGUAUUUUCAAACCAACUUCUCUUAAGCUAGGGGCAGGACAGUUAAUAUUCACCAAAUAUCCCACCUACUUUCCUACACUUCCCAGCUUCCCCUGUAGUUCAGUUGAAGCUAGUCUGUAUUUCUGAGAGUGGAGAUGGCAUGUGCCGCUAGAGACAGUGUCCCCCGCCAUUGCUCUCUUCAUUGCAGUGAACUUGGAAGACGUGCUCCAGAGGAAGGUAGACUUCAUAACUUGCAUCAGACAUUUCAUAAAUGAGAAAUAAACAUCUACUGUGCUAAAAUGCUAAAAAAAAAAAUAAUGCUGUUUGAUAUCAAUGCUUGCUUUAAAAUACAGUGAUCAGUUCAGUGUUGUCAUAAGGAUAGAGAAAGACAUUAACAGAACAGAACACGGAGUUCCAAGGAACCUCCACGUGUAAGUUCAGUUGAUUUUUGACAAAGACA